CAUGACCCGUUUCUGAAGACUUAACAGUAAUUAUAAAUUAUGCUAAACUAUUAGCAUACUGACAUCAUUUAAAUUACAUGAAGAAAACAGCUAAAUUGGAGUCACAAUAAACAAUUCUGGACUUUGUAACUCCUCCUCCUCUCAUUAAUAAUAAUCACGUACAAGGCCUGAGAAAGCAGAUUAUGCAAAUGUGAUGAUUUACCUCUAUAUAACACACAAAUCCAGAUCACUGUUCACUGUGCAGUGAAACAACAGGAGCAGAAUUUACAUUUAGCAAACGUUUUGACAAUGGUGUCAAUGAGCAUCUGGCAUUUCAUAUUUGUGGUGAUUGUUUCUCAACAAGGUAUCAGUGGUGAUGAAAUCCGAUUAGAUCAGUCUCCUGCUGUGAUAAAGAGACCUGGAGAAACAGUGAAGAUCUCCUGUAAAAUAUCUGGUUUUACAAUGACAGACUACUUCAUGCACUGGAUCAGGCAGAAGCCAGGGAAAGCUCUGGAGUGGAUUGGGAGAGUAAACUCUGGCAGUAGUUCUAGCUCUAAUUAUCUUAUUUACGCAGACUCUGUGAAAAAUCACUUCACUAUGAGUGAGGACGUGUCUCAAAGUACACAGUAUCUUGAAGCCAAGAGUCUGAGAGAAGAGGACACUGCUGUUUAUUACUGUGCUCGACAGACACAGUGACUCCAUCUGUUGAAGAGGCCCUACAAUAACCACAGAAAGA